AACGCGAAGAACCUUACCCAGACUUGACAUGCACUGGACCGUGCCAGAAAUGGCACUUCCCUUCGGGGCCGGUGCACAGGUGCUGCAUGGCUGUCGUCAGCUCGUGCCGUGAGGUGUUGGGUUAAGUCCCGCAACGAGCGCAACCCUUAUCGUUAGUUGCCAGCACGUAAUGGUGGGAACUCUAAUGAGACUGCCCGGGUUAACCGGGAGGAAGGUGAGGAUGACGUCAAGUCCGCAUGGCCCUUAUGUCUGGGGCUACACACGUGCUACAAUGGUCGGUACAAAAGGCAGCGAAACUGCGAAGUGAAGCAAAUCCCAAAAGCCGACCCCAGUUCAGAUUGUAGUCUGCAACUCGACUACAUGAAGAUGGAAUUGCUAGUAAUGGCGAGUCAGCAACAUCGCCGUGAAUACGUUCCCGGGCCUUGUA
rnacentral:rRNA from 1 species